UGGGUAGUCCGUACGAGCGCACCCUAUCCUUAGUUGCCAUCAGUUCGGCUGGGAACUCUAGGGAGACUGCCGGUGACAAACCGGAGGAAGGUGGGGACGACGUCAAGUCAUCAUGGCCCUUAUGGGCAGGGCUACACACGUGCUACAAUGGCCGGUACAAAGGGCAGCGAAGCCGCAAGGUGGAGCGAAUCUCACAAAACCGGUCGUAGUCCGGAUUGCAGUCUGCAACUCGACUGCAUGAAGCUGGAAUCGCUAGUAAUCGUGGAUCAGAAUGCCGCGGUGAAUACGUUCCCGGGCCUUGUACACACCGCCCGUCACACCAUGGGAGUGGGCUGUACCAGAAGUAGGUAGUCUAACCUUCGGGAGGACGCUUACCACGGUGUGGUUCAUGACUGGGGUGAAGUCGUAGCAAGGUAGCCCUAGGGGAACCUGGGGCUGGAUCACCUCCUU
rnacentral:rRNA from 1 species